rnacentral:rRNA from 1 species
AGAUUAAGUUAUUAAGGGCGCACGGUGGAUGCCUUGGCACUAGAAGCCGAUGAAGGACGUUACUAACAACGAUAUGCUUUGGGGAGCUGUAAGUAAGCUUUGAUCCAGAGAUUUCCGAAUGGGGAAACCCAGCAUGAGUUAUGUCAUGUUAUCGAUAUGUGAAUACAUAGCAUAUCAGAAGGCACACCCGGAGAACUGAAACAUCUUAGUACCCGGAGGAAGAGAAAGAAAAUUCGAUUCCCUUAGUAGCGGCGAGCGAAACGGGAAGAGCCCAAACCAACAAGCUUGCUUGUUGGGGUUGUAGGACACUCUAUACGGAGUUACAAAGGACGACAUUAGACGAAUCAUCUGGAAAGAUGAAUCAAAGAAGGU